UUAAGCGACUAAGCGUACACGGUGGAUGCCCUGGCAGUCAGAGGCGAUGAAGGACGUGCUAAUCUGCGAUAAGCGUCGGUAAGGUGAUAUGAACCGUUAUAACCGGCGAUUUCCGAAUGGGGAAACCCAGUGUGUUUCGACACACUAUCAUUAACUGAAUCCAUAGGUUAAUGAGGCGAACCGGGGGAACUGAAACAUCUAAGUACCCCGAGGAAAAGAAAUCAACCGAGAUUCCCCCAGUAGCGGCGAGCGAACGGGGAGCAGCCCAGAGCCUGAAUCAGUGUGUGUGUUAGUGGAAGCGUCUGGAAAGGCGCGCGAUACAGGGUGACAGCCCCGUACACAAAAAUGCACAUGCUGUGAGCUCGAUGAGUAGGGCGGGACACGUGGUAUCCUGUCUGAAUAUGGGGGGACCAUCCUCCAAGGCUAAAUACUCCUGACUGACCGAUAGUGAACCAGUACCGUGAGGGAAAGGCGAAAAGAACCCCGGCGAGGGGAGUGAAAAAGAACCUGAAACCGUGUACGUACAAGCAGUGGGAGCACGCUUAGGCGUGUGACUGCGUACCUUUUGUAUAAUGGGUCAGCGACUUAUAUUCUGUAGCAAGGUUAACCGAAUAGGGGAGCCGAAGGGAAACCGAGUCUUAACUGGGCGUUAAGUUGCAGGGUAUAGACCCGAAACCCGGUGAUCUAGCCAUGGGCAGGUUGAAGGUUGGGUAACACUAACUGGAGGACCGAACCGACUAAUGUUGAAAAAUUAGCGGAUGACUUGUGGCUGGGGGUGAAAGGCCAAUCAAACCGGGAGAUAGCUGGUUCUCCCCGAAAGCUAUUUAGGUAGCGCCUCGUGAAUUCAUCUCCGGGGGUAGAGCACUGUUUCGGCAAGGGGGUCAUCCCGACUUACCAACCCGAUGCAAACUGCGAAUACCGGAGAAUGUUAUCACGGGAGACACACGGCGGGUGCUAACGUCCGUCGUGAAGAGGGAAACAACCCAGACCGCCAGCUAAGGUCCCAAAGUCAUGGUUAAGUGGGAAACGAUGUGGGAAGGCCCAGACAGCCAGGAUGUUGGCUUAGAAGCAGCCAUCAUUUAAAGAAAGCGUAAUAGCUCACUGGUCGAGUCGGCCUGCGCGGAAGAUGUAACGGGGCUAAACCAUGCACCGAAGCUGCGGCAGCGACGCUUAUGCGUUGUUGGGUAGGGGAGCGUUCUGUAAGCCUGUGAAGGUGUACUGUGAGGUAUGCUGGAGGUAUCAGAAGUGCGAAUGCUGACAUAAGUAACGAUAAAGCGGGUGAAAAGCCCGCUCGCCGGAAGACCAAGGGUUCCUGUCCAACGUUAAUCGGGGCAGGGUGAGUCGACCCCUAAGGCGAGGCCGAAAGGCGUAGUCGAUGGGAAACAGGUUAAUAUUCCUGUACUUGGUGUUACUGCGAAGGGGGGACGGAGAAGGCUAUGUUGGCCGGGCGACGGUUGUCCCGGUUUAAGCGUGUAGGCUGGUUUUCCAGGCAAAUCCGGAAAAUCAAGGCUGAGGCGUGAUGACGAGGCACUACGGUGCUGAAGCAACAAAUGCCCUGCUUCCAGGAAAAGCCUCUAAGCAUCAGGUAACAUCAAAUCGUACCCCAAACCGACACAGGUGGUCAGGUAGAGAAUACCAAGGCGCUUGAGAGAACUCGGGUGAAGGAACUAGGCAAAAUGGUGCCGUAACUUCGGGAGAAGGCACGCUGAUAUGUAGGUGAAGUCCCUCGCGGAUGGAGCUGAAAUCAGUCGAAGAUACCAGCUGGCUGCAACUGUUUAUUAAAAACACAGCACUGUGCAAACACGAAAGUGGACGUAUACGGUGUGACGCCUGCCCGGUGCCGGAAGGUUAAUUGAUGGGGUUAGCGCAAGCGAAGCUCUUGAUCGAAGCCCCGGUAAACGGCGGCCGUAACUAUAACGGUCCUAAGGUAGCGAAAUUCCUUGUCGGGUAAGUUCCGACCUGCACGAAUGGCGUAAUGAUGGCCAGGCUGUCUCCACCCGAGACUCAGUGAAAUUGAACUCGCUGUGAAGAUGCAGUGUACCCGCGGCAAGACGGAAAGACCCCGUGAACCUUUACUAUAGCUUGACACUGAACAUUGAGCCUUGAUGUGUAG
rnacentral:rRNA from 1 species